rfam:Gasterosteus aculeatus cont1.014312, whole genome shotgun sequence.
UCCUCGUUAGUAUAGUGGACAGUAUCUCUGCUUGUCACGCAGAAGACCAGGGUUCGAUUCCCUGAUGGGGAG